GGGCCUCUACAUGUAAAGCUAUCAUUGUAGGAGGGGGAGUUGCGUCUGAUUAGCUAGUUGGAGGGGGUAACGGCCCACCAAGGCGAUGAUCAGUAGCCGGUCUGAGAGGAUGAACGGCCACAUUGGGACUGAGACACGGCCCAAACUCCUACGGGAGGCAGCAGUGGGGAAUCUUCCGCAAUGGGACGAAAGUCUGACGGAGCAACGCCGCGUGAGUGAUGACGGUCUUCGGAUUGUAAAGCUCUGUUAAUCGGGACGAAUGGUUUGUGUGCAAAUAGUGCAUAGACAUGACGGUACCGGAAUAGAAAGCCACGGCUAACUACGUGCCAGCAGCCGCGGUAAU
rnacentral:rRNA from 1 species